rnacentral:lncRNA from 1 species
AGGGCAAUAUCUUACUAGUUUCGACCCCUGCUGUGUGAUGAGGUUUUGACAGUCAUAAUUGUACAGCAGGCCAUAGUUUAAUAUAAGUAAUUAUAAACCAGGAAUUAUUAAUCAUUAUCUAAUAAUCUGAUACUAAACUAUUGGAUGUUGCUUGUGAAAUAACAAGAAAAUUCAAAGUGAUUAUAUCAAGUGAUUCUAUGAUACUUCUAGACAGCAAAAUAAAAAUAAAAGAAGAGGUUCAAGCCUUGUUAAGGUUUUAGCAUCACAAUCAGACAGCACCUAUAAAAUAAGUCAACUAUGCCAUGGUCCCAGUAGCCAGUAAAGUUCGUUGGGACCAACUUCCUUCCUCUUCAGCUCAUGCCUCUUGGAACACAUGGGGCAGCUGUGUGCACCUCAGAUGGAGCAGCCAAAAAGAGCUCAGAGCUUUGGUCCUGACUUUGCAGCCCAAGUGAGAUCAUGGGUUUUGUACUCCAGGCACUGUGCUAGGCACCAGGACUAUAAUACAACUUGUGAUCUGUAGAGGAGUCAGACAAUUAUCCAGGCAUCCCAAAGAAAUGUCAAUUGCAAGUAAGCAAAUUCUAUGAAAGCAAAAUACACAGCACACAACACUUCACCAUGGAUUUAACCUGGUCAGGAAGGUCUGGAAUAUGAUGACAGAGCUGUCUGAAGUUUGGGUAGGAAUUAACUAGUUGAAGAGGGGAAUUAGGAGGUUCUGGUUAGAGACCUGGGUUGUACAAAAGCACGUGUGUUCUCUCAGCCAAAACCAUACUGGGAUUUCUGUGGAGGUAUAGAGGGAGUGGGGAGAGUGUCCCUUUCAUGGCUUCUGGACUGAAAUCUAUCACUCAGGUCUUGGAAACUCUUUGGUCACCUGUGCUCCAAGUCUCACAUGGCCUCUCAGACAAACACCACCCAACACGCCUCAUGUAUAUCAUUUUAAGCUACAGAAAUAUGGAAUCUUCAGUGAAGUUUACCUUUGGGGCCACUCCCACCUUAACCUGGCCUGGAUCCCUUUUUCCCUGGAGGCUGUUCUGAAGAUGGCACCCUACCUGCUCACCUUUUAGUGUACCUGGGCACCCAUGCCUCCAUAUGGUGACCCUCAAAUCAUACUGUAUGAAGAGCAGCUGUUUUGUCAACUAUUUUUUAAUGAGAUUUUUUUUGCUUUGGUUUAAAAAAUAGCAUAUAUUUGCGUUAGAAAAUUAGAAAUACAGAAGAAACAGAAAUAUAAAAGAAUUACCUAUAACAUGCAAAAAUGACUAGUACAAAUGUUUUUGUUUUUUUACAGUAUGUGAACAUAUUGUAUGUUUAUAUUAAUAUCCAUAGUAUUUAUUUUUGCCUACAUGUUUUACUUAACAUAUGUAGUAAGCAUUUCCCAUGUUAGUCAAAUUAUUUGUGGACAUUAUUUUUAAUGACUAUUAAUGUUAUUACUCUACAGCUUGCCGAAUAAGUCUCCUAUUAUAUGUCAUUUUGGGUCCUAGCAACAUUUUUGUGUUUAAAUCCUUGUAGCAGUUUUGACUGAUUUCCUUAAGAUAGAGUCCAAGAAGAGAAAUAAUUUGCUUGUUUGUUUAUCAUUUGGUACUUUCUUUUAUGGUAAUGUCCUUGGGGCUGAUAAUUCAGAACCAUGAAUAGAUAUGAUUCUUGUCUUUGAGGAGAUUGUAGCCUUGUGCUAGGUUAAAGAAUAGGCACGUUUUAAAGUUCUCGAUACACAUUUUCAAAGUGCUUUUCAAAAAUUUGUAUCAAUUCAUCCUUCUACUAUAAGGGAAAAUCUGUUCUGGGUUGUUUUUCUGGUAUAUCUUCCUAUUAAGAACCUGUUCUCCCUCCUGCUUUGUGACUCACAUGGAGUUGCCACUGCAUGCUAUCAUCUCCAUCCCUUAGAGCAACCUAUUAGAGAACUUACUCUCUGGAGUCCCAAAAGAGAAACAACAGCAACAACUCAGCAAUUCAUCUGGGGUCAGCGUGUUACCCAGUCUGGGCCAUUGGAGAUUUUUUUAAAGGGAAGUUUCUCCUAUUUUCUUCAAAAUUCUGAGCUGUGAAGAGGACCACUAGAAAGUUCAAUCUAUUUAUGAUUUUUUAAAAAACUGUUAUUAUAUAUAUUUAAGUGUAUGUCAUGUUUCCACACAUAUAUACAUAGUGAAAUGAUCACUGUAAUCAAGCUAAUUAGAAUAUCCCCCAUCUCGCAUAGUCACCUUUGUGUGUGAAAAGGGUUCAGUGCUUCCCUCUCCACUCUUCAUCUCCCCUUUAAAAAAGCAGAGAUGAAUGGAGAGGGAAAGGUUGAACAAUGGUUAUGUGGUGGGACUGCUGGGAUUCACCUGAGAGUUAAAACCAGCUAGUUCUACCCGUAUGUUUUUCACUUAGAUAAGCCAACAAAUUAAUUUCUUUUCCUCUAUUCUUCUUGUCUUCUUUCCUGCCUCUUUACCUGUCUCCCUUCCUUCCUCUCUUCCCACUCUCUUUCUUUCCUUAUUUAAAUUGGUUUGAAUUGAGUUUCUGACACUAAUGGAGAGUCCUUAUUGUGCCUUCACGUUAUUUUUAUCAAACCAGAAAAUGUUAAUGACAUAAAACAAUUACUGUUUGGACAAGGAAAAUUGUAUUUCUUUCCUUGAAAUUUCUACACACAUACACAUUUGUGCUUGUUAGUGAGGCUAAGCAUUUUCCCCCUUAUUUGUGAAUUAUAUAUUCAAUGUUUUGAUCCAUUUAUCAAAUAAAUUCCUUAGUUUAAAAAAUAUUUGCAGGUGCGGUUAUUAUGGAAAGCAGCAUGAAGUUUCCUCUAAAUAUUAAAAAUAGAAUCACCACAUGACUCAGCAAUCCCUCCUCUCUAUAUAUUUUUAAAGGAAAUGAAAUCAGCACUUCAUGGAACUAUCUCCACUCCCGGCUGGGCGCAGUGGCUCACGCCUGUAAUCCCAGCACUUUGGAAGGCCAAGGCAGGUGGAUCACGAGGUCAAGAGAUGGAGACCAUCCUGGCCGACAUGGUGAAACCCUGCCUCUACUAAAAAUACAAAAAUUAGCUGGGCGGGGAGGCACAUGCCUGUAAUCCCAGCCACUCGGGAGGCUGAGACAGGAGAAUCGCUUCAACCUGGGAGGCGGAGGUUGCAGUGGCUGAGAUCGCACCACUGCAGUCCAACCUGGUGACAGAGGGAGACUCCAUCAAAAAAAAAAAAAAGAAAAAAAGAAAUAUCUCCACUCUUAUAGUCAUUGAAGCAUAAUUAACAAUAACCAAGCUAUGAAAUCAAUGUAAGUGCCCAUCAAUGGAUGAGUGGAUAAAGAAAAUGUUACACACACACACACACACACACACACACACACACAGUGGAAUUUCAUGUAGCCUUAAAAAAGAAGACGAUUUUGUUAUUUAUAACAUGCCUGAAUGUGGAGGACAUUAGGUUAAGUGAAAUAAGCCAGAAAGAAAAAUACUGCAUGAUCUUACUUAUAUGUGGAAUCUAAAAACGUCAAGUACAAAAAAGCAAAAAGUAGAAUAGUGGUUGCUGGGAUCUGGGGCUGAGAUUAUGAUGGGCAAAUGGGAAGAAAUUGAGUGCAGAGUUUUGAUUAGGAUCAAUAAGUCUAGAGAGCAAAUGUACAGCAUGAAGACUAUAGUUACUACUGGGUUGUAUACUGGAAAUUUGCUAAGAAAGUAGGUUGUAGGUCCUCUUACCAUACACACAUAUACAGGUAACUAUGCGAGAUGAUGGAUAUUCUAAUUAGAUUGACUGUAGUAAUCAUUUCACUAUGUAUGUGUAUGAAAACAUGACAUACACCUUAAAUAUAUAUAAUAACAUUAAAAAAACCCAAAAUCUUGAAAAGAUUAUUAAGCUUUCCAAUGCCCAAGAAAAGGAAGAAAAGAAAAAGAAACUGCCACAGCUUAUUUUAAAAAUAAAAGUGGGCUCUCUUUUUAAAAUAUUAAUUUUAUAGUACCUUAUCUGGUAACCAAAAUAUUUUUAAAUAUUCUGAUGCUAUUAUAGUAUAAUCAUUCUUUAAUAAUUUUGUAGAUUUCACUUUACUGAACAAAGCCCUAAACAAAAACAUUGAAUAUGACAAAAACUUGCAUAAGUUUAUUUCAUACUGAAGACAUAUAUGCUAUAGAUUUGUAGAAAUACUUCCCACUUGGUUACUUGCUUAUGUUAUGAGUUUUUACCUACAGAAACUUGCUUUUUUUCUUGUAAAAUUUAGAUUAAUUUCUUUGGUAUGUUUUCCUACUGCUUUAAAACUUCAGAAUUCCUUUUUUCAUAGAACUUUUCUAUUUUCACUUAGAAACAUUCAGAACUUAUGUUAGUGUGUGAUUUGAGGUGGUUUUUGUGUUGACUUUGUUUCCUACCUUGUUAGCUAUUUUUUCUAUGCCAUUGUGGAAUAAUUUGUUAAUUUUCAGUGGAUUCAUAAUGCCUUUAAAAAAUAAGGUUGUGUUCUCAGAGGUGAUAAAUUUUAUUUAUUUAUGAUGCUCCAUCUAUGUUAAGGCUAUUUGUAAGUCUAUGUGUAUGGUAGGAUUUUAGUUCUACACUGCAUCUUACACAGGUUAGUAAAAUAUAGCACAUUUAUUAAUUAUUUAGAGUAUAGGAUUACGUAUUGAUAAGUACAAGCUAUUGAGCCUUCCCAUGUCCUAGGCACUUUGCUGAAUUUUAAUCCUUAUCACAACUCAAUGGGAUAGAUACUGUUGUCAUCUUUUGUAGACAUGGGUUUAUUAUAGCUAUUUUAAAAUGAGUUAGCAAAUUCAAAUUUCAAAAAUUCUAUUUUUAUUUCUAAUAUGGUAAAUAUUGAUAAAUAAAAUUUAUAUAAACAAAUAUUUUGAUGUACUCAGUAACCCAUAAGGGUAUAUAAGAGCCCUGAAAUGAAAAAGUUUGAGAACUGCUUAUAAGCCCUAUAUAAUUAUUAGGUAUUAAUAUCAUUAUUAAUUUUUGAAUCUAUAUUCAAAUAUAGUUAUCAUAAAAUGAACUUCAUAUAUGUAAGUGUAUACUUUGAUGUGUUUUGACAUAUGUAUAUUAUAAUGAAGCCAUCAUCAUAAUUAAGAUAAUAAACAUAUCCAUCACUCUCAGAG